UUGUGGCCAAUUGAUGUGCAAAGGGUCCUCGUGAUUCCUCUCCCUAUGCAGAAUAUGUCGGAUUUCAUCGUCUGGAGCUAUACAAAAAAUGGUGUAUUCACUGUUUGAUCAGCUUAUUUGGAGAAAUGGAACCAACAACACGGGAGGAAAUUGCAAUAUACUAAUGGUAUGGGUUGUACCAAUGUCAAUCCUAUUUGGGGUAAGAUUUGGAAAUUAUCAUGUCCGACAAAGGUAAAGAUAUUUAUUUGACGAACGUUGCAUGAAACUCUACUGUGUCGUGUUACACUUGCCAAUAGACAUAUGAAAGUUUCGCCCCUUUGUCCAUCUUGCUCGAAUGGGCAAGAAGAUACAAAGCAUAUCUUGUUUCUGUGUCAGAAGGCAAAAGAGGUUUGGGGAAAGCUGGGGAUGUACGAGGUAAUUAAGAAAGCUUGUGUCCUUGAAUUUUUACUUCUUAUGCCGCAGCAAGAACUAUCUAUAUUAGAUUGCCAAAAUACAAAUGAAUUAAUCGCGAUAACCGCCUGGUAUUUAUGGUGGGAGAGACGCAUGUUGGUUCAUGAAGGGAAAUCUCAAGAAGUGAAUCAGAUUUCGAUGGGGAUUCGUGUUAUAACUGCAAACUAUGUGAAUGCCCACUCCCCUAGUGCGACUAGUAGAAAAGAAGGAUGGAGCCGACCUUCUACGUGUUUUUGUUAA
rnacentral:rRNA from 1 species